GAAUAUUCAGUCAACUGGUUUCUAUAAAAUGUCUAUAAAAUUAUUUUUUCCAACGAUUUUUUUAUUAGUACCUUGUGCGUAGACUUUUUCUGCCUAGUGUGUGUCCCUCAAUAUGUAGUUUUAAAAAAAAUGAAAUAUUUGCGCAAGGGAGAAAAAAGUGCAGAGUCACCAUCAUUGAUCAAUAAGAUUCGAGCAAGCUUACGAGAUAUUUUAAAAGCGAAUUUAAUUUAUUUCAUAGUAUGAAUUCUACAGUACCCCCGGAGUAAGGAAGGACUAAGUUCGGAUGCCCCUAUUAAACUCUCUCGUUCCAUUCUGGAAGUAAAAUCUAAUGUCUCUGAGGGUCUACAACGUUUCUUUGCGAGUGGUGCCAACUUCAUGGCAAACAUUCAGCAAAUUUGGCUCCCAGCGACUACAACCUCUUCAGAAACCAGAAACAAUUCUUUCGAAGAAAGCGGUUUUCGCCGAAUGAAGAAACUAUUACAACUGUAGACAGGUAUUUUGCAGAGCUUCCGGAAAGUCAUUAUAGGUAUGGCAUAAAAUUAUAGUCGGAUCAUUGGAAUAAGUGUAUUGAAGUUAAGGGAGAUUAUAUUGAAUAAAAAAUAUAUUUCGU